UCGGAGCUCAUGUGUUCCAGACAAGAGCAUCUGAGGUGAUACAGAUCACCUCUUUGGAACAGUCCACCCAGAUCUGGCUGCUCAAGCCAGUCAAAACUCUCCAGAGCUCCUUCCUGCAAGGUGCACAGACUACCAGAAAUAGAGAGGCAUGUGCAUGUGCAUGUGGAAGUGUGUUGUGUGUAUAAUAGACCAAGGAGGCCAGAGGCAUUUGAAGAAGAUGGAUGGGUUUAUGGAGGCAAACACCAGACUCCCAUUAAUCCAGACUCCCCAUUCAAGCCGUGGUGUGAAGGUCUUUACCCCAUAACAAGGACUGCCUUCCAAAUCCUGACUUUCCUCGGAGUUGGGCACCAUCCCAGGAAAGUCUGAAGCCAUUAAAGAAGCUGGCAGCAAGAAGACAUUAUCUGAUGGGCUGCUCAAGGGGAUGCGAGCGGUCCUCCUGAAAGCGUGUGUGCAUCAUGUCCCCAUCCAGCAGGUUUGGAGUAGAGGGACACUUCACCAGUCUCCACACAGUUUGA